rnacentral:rRNA from 2 species
UGGGGAAUAUUGCGCAAUGGGGGAAACCCUGACGCAGCAACGCCGCGUGAAGGAUGAAGGUUUUCGGAUUGUAAACUUCUUUGAUGAGGGACGAUAAUGACGGUACCUCAAAAACAAGCCACGGCUAACUACGUGCCAGCAGCCGCGGUAAUACGUAGGUGGCAAGCGUUGUCCGGAUUUACUGGGUGUAAAGGGCGUGUAGGCGGGAAUGCAAGUCAGAUGUGAAAGCCCGGGGCUUAACCCCGGAUAUGCAUCUGAAACUGUGUUUCUUGAGUGCUGGAGAGGAAAGCGGAAUUCCUAGUGUAGCGGUGAAAUGCGUAGAUAUUAGGAGGAACACCAGUGGCGAAGGCGGCUUUCUGGACAGUAACUGACGCUGAGGCGCGAAAGCGUGGGGAUCAAACAGG